UACGGGGGGAGCAAGCGUUGUUCGGAAUUACUGGGCGUAAAGGGCUCGUAGGCGGCCAACUAAGUCAGACGUGAAAUCCCUCGGCUUAACCGGGGAACUGCGUCUGAUACUGGAUGGCUUGAGUUCGGGAGAGGGAUGCGGAAUUCCAGGUGUAGCGGUGAAAUGCGUAGAUAUCUGGAGGAACACCGGUGGCGAAGGCGGCAUCCUGGACCGAUACUGACGCUGAGGAGCGAAAGCCAGGGGAGCAAACGGG
rnacentral:rRNA from 1 species